rnacentral:rRNA from 1 species
GGGAAACUGGGCUAAUACCGCAUAUGUCCUGAGGGACAAAGCAGUAUGCGCCUUUGGAGCAGCCUGCGUCCGAUUAGGUAGUUGGUGGGGUAAUGGCUACCAAGCCUGCGAUCGGUAGCUGGUCUGAGAGGACGAUCAGCCACACUGGGACUGAGACACGGCCCAGACUCCUACGGGAGGCAGCAGUGGGGAAUAUUGGACAAUGGGCGAAAGCCUGAUCCAGCAAUGCCGCGUGAGUGAUGAAGGCCUUAGGGUUGUAAAGCUCUUUUACCCGAGAUGAUAAUGACAGUAUCGGGAGAAUAAGCUCCGGCUAACUCCGUG